GACGAACGCUGGCGGCGUGCUUAACACAUGCAAGUCGAACGGAAAGGCCCUGCUUUUGUGGGGUGCUCGAGUGGCGAACGGGUGAGUAACACGUGAGUAACCUGCCCUUGACUUUGGGAUAACUUCAGGAAACUGGGGCUAAUACCGGAUAGGAGCUCCUGCUGCAUGGUGGGGGUUGGAAAGUUUCGGCGGUUGGGGAUGGACUCGCGGCUUAUCAGCUUGUUGGUGGGGUAGUGGCUUACCAAGGCUUUGACGGGUAGCCGGCCUGAGAGGGUGACCGGCCACAGUGGGACUGAGAUACGGCCCAGACUCCUACGGGAGGCAGCAGUGGGGAAUAUUGCACAAUGGGCGGAAGCCUGAUGCAGCAACGCCGCGUGCGGGAUGACGGCCUUCGGGUUGUAAACCGCUUUCGCCUGGGACGAAGCGUGAGUGACGGUAAUGGGUAAAGAAGCACCGGCUAACUACG
rnacentral:rRNA from 1 species